rnacentral:tRNA from 1 species
UAUUUAUUGGUGUAAGAAGCACAUGAGUUUUUGAUACUUAAAGAUGCAGUUUAAUUCUGCUAUAAAUAA